GGGAAAAAGGAAUGGUACGCGUCGUUUUCCAUAAGCCUCGUGUGUUAAGGCGGUUGGCUUGACUAACGAAUCACGAAGCUACUGCGAUCGAUACAUAGGACGUUCGGUGGAGUUACGAAUGAGAACCGAAGAGUACCGAAGUUAGUCGAAGCAUUACGGAAAAUACCGAGCGUAAGCGAAACGUAGAAGGGAGGAAACGACGCGUAUGCGAACGACGCCGAGGUCUUCUCCGGCUUUGGUUGAAAGAGUGUUCGCGUCUACGGGCGCGGCUUUUGCGUCUCGAGCUGGCGUUUUACACGGGAAAAUGUCCUCCCUCGACUAUCUCGACUUGUGUCGACUCUGUCUCGUGAAGGACCGCGUCUCCGUGCCGAUAUUUGAGGGCGAGGGCGACGUAAGGCAAAUUUUUCUCAAGAUAACCGCCUGCCUACCGGUCAAGGUCGAUAGGGAAGACAAGUUACCUAAGAAAAUAUGUGAUGACUGCGUGUAUAAAGUAGAAUUAUUUUAUCAAUUUUGGAAUACAUCGGUUAAUGCGGAAAAACAAUUGUUGCAAUGGCUGGGAGAAGUUGGAUUAGAAGAAAAGCCAGAUUAUGUUACAAAUGUUCUGAAUCAAAACGUUAUGAAACCAGAUCCAAGCGGUGGAAACAGAUUAGAUGGAAGUAUGAUGCAGCAAGUAAGCGGGCAUCAAAACAACAUGGGUAUAGGUAUGAUGGACAACAUCAGCUUGAGUAUGCCUAUGAUGAUGUCCACGACCAAUCAACAACAAAUAACCUCAGUUCCUAUGGAUGCAAGUGGUAGUUCUGUGCAAGAAAUGCCUGGUACAAGUACUCAGUCUACGCAUGAACAAAUCACACAAAGUCAAACAAAUACAAGCAAUCAACAUGAAGAAGAGGAGGAGAGUAGUGAAGAAGAAGAAAACUCGGAAGAUGAAUGUGAUGGGGAAGAAGGCCUACCUGUUAAAGAAGAAAGUGAAGAAGAUCCUAACAAUAGCAGAGUCAUCGAACCAACAACAUUUGUAAAUGUUUCAUUAGCCUGCGAUGAAGCUGGCCCAUCGGGACUUCAGCAACAGAAGGUUACUGAGAUGCCUGAAAUGGCAAUGCAACAAAGUACAGACGGAGAUCCCAAAUCUGGGAUGACCAAUAACAACGAUCCCUUAUACAUCCAACCACGCAUAACGAUGACGGUGGUUAAUGAGCCAUUCUUCGUAGCAUCUAAUCAAAAUGGAGUACAAAAUAUUGGUGAUGAUAAUAUGUUAGAACUACCUAAUGCAUCGUCGAGUAAUAUCGCAGCUCAAUCCGAAAGAGACCAAAACUUUGCUAUGGAGAGUUCAGAAAUGGAUAAACUUGGCCAAUCAGUUGAAGAAAAGGAUUCUCUUAUAUUGCUAGAACAUGAUUGUUCCAGCAUCAAAUUAGAAUAUCCAUCUAUAUCAAGAACAGUGGAAAACCAAGCAAUGUUAUCGUUGUUAUCGGUGAAGAAAGAAAUUGAGGAACAUCGUGUUGGUAUUCAAGAAAAAACAAUUAUAAAAUACCACAAUUGUGAUCGUUGCGGAAUGAAGUUUCCAUUAAAAACGAUGCUGAACAGACACAGAUUGUCCCACAAUGUAAAACAUUCUAUACCAAGGAUCAAAUAUUCAAGAGAAAAAUAUGGAUAUCCCAAAACAUCGGAUUUACGAAAAUACAAUAAAUCUGUAUUCGGACAAGUUGAAAAACGCGAGUACACUUGUAAUCUCUGUAAUUUUGCAUGUGGAAGAAGCAUCACGUUGACCGUACAUUUGAAAAGAAAACACAGAAUAAAUGAAGUUAAAUCUGUUUCGAAGAAUCGAAAAUGUUCUUCCAACGAAAAUAAUUCAACCAAACGAAGAUCUACGAGAAAGAACAAAAAGAUUUAUCACUUUUGCGAUAUUUGUGAUUUUGAAUGUAAAAAGGAUGAGGUUCUGGCUGCACACGUGGCACAAUGUCAUCGAAAAUCAGAGAAGAGAAUAGAAAAUUCAUCGAGCAGAUCAAACAAAUGGAAUUAUAAAAUAACAAAAACUAAAGAAGAUAAGUACGAUCGCGAGGUCCAAGAAAGUGCAUCGAUGUUUUCUUGUUCGUGUUGUACGUUCCGUUGUAAAAAGAGAUCAACUAUGACGAGUCAUGUUGCAAAGAAGCACAACAACAAAGUUAAUCUCGAAGAACGUUGUGAUAUUUGCGAUUUCAAAUGCUCGAAAAAGAGUACACUUUAUUCGCACAAACGUCAGCACAAAAUCGAAGCCUUGAACGAGGUUUAUGCUUGCAACGAGUGUGACUUCAAGACGAUCAAGAGAACGUCUCUUUAUUCUCACAUCAAGAGAAAGCACAAAACUACGAGAUCAUGUACCGGUAAUGAUCAACCCGAAUUGUUCUAUUGCAGUCAAUGUGAUUACAAAAAUAAAAACAAGUAUGAACUGAAGGUUCACGUAGCCAGAAAGCAUACCGACGAUUUUAAAUUUUCUUGUGAAACAUGUGGAAAGAAAUUUAAGGUCAAAGGUGAUCUUACGAAUCACAUAAGAUUCAGUCAUCGAGAACAGCCGGUAAUUUGCGACGUCUGUGGGAAAACUUGUUUAAAUAGUAAUUCUCUUUACGUCCAUCAAAAGUUUGCUCACUACAAGGCAAAAUACGAAUGUCAAGUUUGCAAGAGACGAAUGGUGAGCCAGGAGAAUUUAAAUGAACACAUGAUCAGGCAACAUGAGAGAAAAGAGAACGUUGUUUGUGAAGAAUGUGGCAAAACAUUUUCUAGAAACAGCAGAUUGAAGGUUCACAUGAGGAUUCAUACUGGAGAUAAACCUUAUACUUGUACUAUUUGCAGCAAAGCUUUUGCACGUAGAACUGCACUGAAGCAACACCUUCUCAUACACACCGGCAUGAGACCAUACGUGUGUGAUAUUUGUGGAAAGGCUUUCACUCAGAAACCUGGAUUGAUUAGCCAUCGAAAAUCUCAUCCUGGAUCUCAUCCACCUCUACCAAGAGUUCUCAUCGAUCAUAUAUUAAACGACGUUAUGAACAAUUGAGACUGAUCUCAAUUUCGAUUUUUCAUUAAUGGAAUUCAACGUGUUUCAGAAUUAAUACUUUUCAUGUGCUUUUUCAAUACAGACAAAUCGCACAAUUCGUGUUUCUGCAAUAUCUCGUUAUUAACCCGUUUUGAAAGACGCUGAUAAAAAAAAAAAAGUGUCGAAAGGGAAUACGUUAACUUUAUUGUCAUUUGAUUAUUAAUGUUUAGAUAGAUAUACGUGUAUAGAUAUCUUUUUACUUGAAGUGCAAUGUUUAAAUACUGUUAACAGGGUUCAUUGGGUUUUGACUGUUAUACAUUUUAACAGUUCAUUUGUAAUCCUUCGCAGAUUUUCUAUAGUAACUUUCUAUCUUCAUCUGUCUUACAACUUUUCUCGAUUAUCGAUGUUCUUGGCAUUAAAAAAAAUACGAACAAUUAAUUUACUAGUUACUAACGAACACCUUUACCUUGGUAACUCAAAUUUCAUCUUUAUUAUUACCAUUGUAUUAAAAUAUAAGUGACUUAAAUAGAAAAAAUCAUGAACUUUGAAUAUAUUAAAGG